rnacentral:rRNA from 1 species
AAACUAACAAGGAUUCCCCUAGUAACGGCGAGUGAAGCGGGAAGAGCUCAAAUUUAAAAUCUGGCAGGCUACGCUUGUCCGAAUUGUAAUCUCGAGAAGUGUUUUCCGCGUUGGCCUGUGUACAAGUCCCUUGGAACAGGGCGUCAUAGAGGGUGAGAAUCCCGUCCUUGACACAGACACCCAAUGCUUUGUGAUACACUCUCAAUGAGUCGAGUUGUUUGGGAAUGCAGCUCAAAAUGGGGUGGUAAAUUCCAUCUAAAGCUAAAUACUGGCGAGAGACCGAUAGCGAACAAGUACCGUGAGGGAAAGAUGAAAAGCACUUUGGAAAGAGAGUCAAACAGUACGUGAAAUUGUUGAAAGGGAAACGAUUGAAGUCAGUCGUGCCUGCCUAGUCUCAGCCUUUUGGUGUACUACUAGGUCGGCAGGUCAGCAUCAGUUUGGGAGGAUUAACAAGGGAGCUAGGAAUGUGGCAACCUCGGUUGUGUUAUAGCCUAGUUUCGCAUUGAUCUUGCUGGACUGAGGAACGCAGUGCGCCCGCAAGGUUGUCUUCGACACAUUCGCACUUAGGAUGCUGCAUAAUGCUUUAA